rnacentral:antisense_RNA from 1 species
UGAUACAGAGCAUCCACCUGUGUGACUGGCACAAUGUGAAAGAGGGGAAAAGGGUGGAGGAGGAAGAGACAGGAGAGCUGAUAUGAAACUCUUGUUAUUUAUGAGGAUCACAAUCAAGAGUUUAAAGACAACCAGUCUCUGCUCCAGCCACACAGGACUUCUUUUAGUACCUUUACUACAUCAUGCCCUCCCCUGCCUCAGGCUUCUGCUGGGAUGGAUCCAGCACAUUCACCCUAAAAUUCUGAUUCAGAAGAUCUAAGCCUUCUGAAAAAAAAGCAUUGAGAGCAUAAACCACUCAGAAGAUUUACAGCUUAAAGCAGAUCACCUUAAGAGAAUGACUGCAAUAGGAAACAGAGUGAAAUCAGAAGUGCCCUCAUCAACUCACUCUGCCACAAACUUCCUCCAAAUGUGUUAAUGAUUUUCUGAGACACAUUUUCAAAGGAUUAUUUAUAAGAACAAGACAAAAUUAAGCCAAAGUCCAUAUUACGUGAAACUUCAUCUCCUAGGCUUUGUAAAUAAAAGCUAAAGGAUACAGGACAUGUCUGACCCAGGAAUCUAAGCAAGUAACAUACUACCUGGCUAAUCCAGUUGAGGUGAAGGUCACAAUACUGAAUUUGAAUAUGCUGUGUUCUCUACUGUAAAUAAAGUAUUUUGUUUAUCUUUUCAUGCCA